GUAUAGGCAAUCUAGUAUAUUACUCUAAUGCUUGAUUUAUUCAUGGUUUACAAAAAGUUCUAUUUUUGUGUGCACACAAUCUUAUGCAUCUCACAUGUUCAAUAAUUUUGACAUUUUCUAUCUGCACUAAAAUAUGUGUAUAUUAUCUAAGUAUCGAGAUAUUUAAACAUUUUUUUAGCAUCCUAAAAUAUAUGUGCAUCUUGAACAAUAAACAACUUAAGAUACUCUUGUGAGAUUUCUUGUGCAUCUCGGCCAUUGAAUAACUUUAAGAUUUUUUAUAGUGUAUAGAAAUAUAUGUGUAGUGGUUUGAUUUUAAAUUUUUCUAUACAUAAUAACCAGUGCAUCGUGAAUGACGAAAAUAUUUGAGUCUUGUAGGCAUUCGAGCCUCUAUUGUGCAUCCUAAUUUAUUGUACAAUUGAUUAUUUUCUUGAAGGAUCACAAUUGAUACGUGCAACAUUAUUAUGCAUCUUGAUUUUAUCAUCACCUCCAGCUGGCCUUUUUUUUGCAUCCUAAUGUAUUGAACAUUUUCAGGAGUUUCUAUUACUGUAUAUCUAUUUUCAGGAGUUUCUAGAAUAUUUUCAGGAGUUUCUCUCUAGAUUAUUUGCAAGGUAAGGAACUAUAAAUUUUGUGAAUAAAGUAUAGGCAUUACCAUUUUGUGUGCAUUUGUCCUUGCACAAAAAAAAGUGUACAACGCAUUUUUCUGGAGAUAGGAUCGAGCUUCGUCUGGAAGGAAAAAUAAAAUGCACAUGGACAUUGUGUGCAUCUAUCUCUGGGCUUCUUGCAUGUCCUGGACCAUUCGAUGAAUGAACAAAACAUGCACCUUGGGGGAGCAAUCAAAUUGUUACAUAAUAAAGGCCUAUUUACCUGCAUGCGAUCAUUAUUUAGGAAGAAGCAAUUAAACUGUUGCAUGAAGGAAUUUUUACUUGCAUGCGCUCAUUGUUUGAUGCUUGGGAUGUUAGCAAUUCUGGGUGAAAUGUUAAAUUCUACAAUACAUUGCAUCUCCCCAGCUCGAGGUAUUAUAGAAGCACAAGCAUCUAUUACAUUUACAUGUAUUGUUCCUCGCAGAUGAGAAGGUUGACAAUUUUGGAAUGCUUACAUGUAGAGCUGAAUUAGGCUACUAUUUAAUAUACUAUGCUAUGAUGUUUAAUGGACUCAAGCUCAGCCGAAAAAUAUUCAUGGUCAACAACGAGUUGAUGUAUCGUCUCAUCACCGCCCCUGGGAAUGAAGCACUCCUACUGUCAUGUAUGGUACAAGUCAUUGAAGAUUGAUGCUGAUCUGGCUACCAUCUUCAUAUAACAGUCACAUUUUGCCUACAAAGGAAGAUCUAACUGUCAUGCACAUUUCAUUAUAUACGUAAAUCUAUGUGCAACUAAACUGCACCUGUUUCCGUGAUGCUUUCAUAUUUUGAACAACAUAUAAGCCGCACUUUGAUGCUAUGGUGCUCCAACCAUGUUAUGUGUGGUACCUGCAACCAAAUAUAGAGACCCAAAUAUAUGCAUGUGUGCUACAGCUUGAUGUUAUGCUGCUUUGAAGCGUUUGUGGCACCUCAACCAAAUUUCUGCAUGCGUGCUCGGCAGCUAAUUACAGUUACCUACA